CGGCCCUUGAAAUGCAGGGGGAGCAGACCUGCGUGCCGAUGGGUUAAUUCUCCGGGCACAGUGGCAGGUGUGGAUGGGAUGGUGCUGAACGGUCUGGUCUGUGACGCUGCCUCUUGAUUGGGUGUGUGUUUUGGGGGGAUAUGUUGAAAGACAGAUCUACAGCCGCUCUGCAACCCCCAUCCAUCUCUUGAGAUGGGGGCGGGCAGCGUGCUGAAUGACGACACCCCCAGGUGACCCUCAGGUGCCUCCCCCUCCAACCCCCAGAGGCCUGAAACCAGGACCCGAGAACAAGUGUGUGGUGAGCAAACAUGAGCCCUGGGCCGGGUUCCCCAAGACUGGGCUCAGGAAGGACUAUGUCUGGCAGCGACGGAGAAGAAAAACCCAACUCAGCCAGACUUCCUGGCUUCUGAUCUGAGGGAGCUUGCUCUUUGCACCCUUGCACGGGGCACUCACCCUGAGAAAAUGCCCGUCUCCACCCAAGUCAGAGGAUGUUCCCCGCAGCAGGUGUGUAAAAGCAAGACCUGGGAAAUGGCCCAGAGGCCUGGCCGUGCCGGACGGGAACAAAAGCCGCCGUCAGGUGGCCCCCUGGGGGACAGGGGCUGAGUUCUGGACGUAUGGGUUGCACGGAGGUGGGGAGAACGGUCCACAACAGCAGUUUGCAGUUGUCUUUGCAUGUAGAGGCUUAAAAACAACCUGGGGCGGGAGUUCCCGUUCGUGGCGAAGCGGAAACAAAUCAGACUAGGAACCAUGAGGUUGAGGGUUCGAUCCCCGGCCCCGCUCAGUGGGUUAAGGAUCCGGUGUUGCUGCGGCUGUGGUGUAGGCCAGCAGCUGCAGUUCUGAUAAGAUCCCGAGCUUGGGAACUUCCAUAUACCUUGGUGUGGCCCUAAAAAAGAAAAACAAACAACCCCCCCCCAAAACCAAAAACCAAACAACAACCUGGAACGAUUUGAAAAUGAUGCUGAAUUUACCCACUAAGGGCCCCACGACCUUUAAAGUGACAUAUUUCACAAAGAGACGCCAGUUCCACUCAGUGAAACCACAGAAUAUCUGCCAGGUGGUAACAGUACCUAAAUUGUGGCCGGUCCUGGGUUCAGGCCUAUGGGGAGCACCGGGUGGGGGGACACCGCUCUGGCUUUGGGUUCUACAGAACUGGGUGGUUCACACCAAAAGCUUUUUCUUUACACCCUGACCCCCAGCUUGUCUUUGUCCCCCAUCUUCUGCCUUUUGUUCUGGGGAGUUUUUUCUCUGGGAAGCGAGUGGGGAGGGCAGAAGGCCCCCGGGGCACAGCGGGAGGUUGAUAAGGAGAGGUAUGCACCCCCCCCAGCCCCACGGGUAGGAGCGGGUCUUCCAGGGUUUGAAGAUCUGGGCCCAGCAGCAGCCGCCUCUUCCCAGAUGCAGUGGGAGGAAGCGGGCAGUCACCUGAACUGCCCUGGGCAGGGCCAGAUCUGGUCCCCAUGUGGCGAUUUGGGGUGACUGCUCCGUGGGCAGGUGCGGGGUGGCCGGUGGUGGUGGCAUGAGGACCCCUGGGAGCCUCUCUGGGCUCAGAGCAGAGGCGCUUGCCCUGGGGGACUGAGAGGCAGCAGUGCCCGCUGGACCCUAGCGGUCAGCUUUGAACGGGGCUCGUGGGGCGGACUGGCAUCCUUGGGCCUCGAUUCUGUCUCCCGGGCAGGGGGGCUGGUCAGAGUCAGAUGAGUCCCCUCUUGGGCCACAGAGGCUCCCAGGAGAGAGGGGCUUUCGCAGGAGGUUCUGGGGGCCCCCCUGCCCCUAGCCCACAGACUGUGGGAGGUCCUUUUAAAUGAACCUAAGGCAGCAAGAUACGGGCCUAAAGCUGAAGCUCCAAGGUCCUGGAAAGUGAGCGAGAUUGGCUCAGGGUUCCAGAAGCUGCAUUUGCCCGCAUGUCUGAGGCCUCACCGAAUCCAAGCAUCCAGGCUACUCGGCCUCACCCCAGAGCCUGCAAGCCCCCCGGUCCCCCGGCCUCGCGACCACGUGCCCUCCGUUCCGCCUCCGUUCCCCCUCGCUCUGGACGGUCUUGCUGGCUGUCGAGGCUGUGUUCCGCCGCCUUCAGCCGGGGUCUCCGAGCUCGGGGUCCUUCCCCGGAGGCGGCAGUUUCAGAGGAAAUACACACGCAGUCUGUGGCUGAGACUCUAGAGUGGAAAAGAAAUUUCCAAGGCCAGCAGGGUCUUAGAGACGUGAUUCUGCUGGCGGCAACCAAGGAACUCAAGUCGUUUUCAAGAAGCGCCCCCAGAAACAGCUCCUUGCCUACAGGAGUCGGGAGAGGCUCAGGAGGGGGGGGGUUCCUCUCUCUCCUCUCCGGGGGGCUGACUCGGGGAGGGUGGGGGGGUGCCUGGGACCCCCACCCCCCACCCCCAUAGUGUUGUCCCUCGCCUGCAGCUUCUGGUUUCCUGUCUCUUCCCAGUUCCUGGCCCAGCUGAUGGUUUUUCUCAUCAGUUUCGUGAGCUCCGUGUUCUGUGGGCACCUGGGGAAGCUGGAAUUGGACGCGGUCACGCUGGCGAUUGCGGUGAUCAACGUUACGGGUGUCUCCGUGGGGUUUGGCUUGUCCUCUGCUUGUGACACCCUCAUCUCCCAGGUAAAUGGAAGCCCCGGGUCCCCUUGCUGUGACCUCUGGAGCUGGAGGAACCCCCAGGGGGGCAGAGGGCGGGGCCCCCCAGGCAAACCCUGCCGCAUUCCAGCUCUCCGCUGUCCCUUUGAAGUGUGGCUGCAGAGGCUUUAUCUGCACUGCUGCCUUAAGCCACAUUUUCACAAGGGGACGUUUUGAAAAAGUCGCUUUUAUCGCUUUCCGCCUCUGAGCUUGGUACCCUCCAGGGGUCCACAGUCGUGAAGCGGGGGAACGUGGAAUCACCAGGUCUGGGCGGGGGAGGGCGAGGUCUCCCGCUACAGCUCCUUUCAAGCUCCCGAAGAGGUCACUGAGCAGGGAGCUGGGGAGAGAUGGGCACCGUGGGCUCACAAGCAGUGGGCACUGGCCCCGGCCCCCCACGGGCUGUUCCCCACGGCUCUGCAUAGUAGGUCUGGGGUGGGGCCCAAGACGCGACUUUUCUAAUAGGGGUCCAGGGGCUGCAACCUGUCUGCACGUUAGGAUCACAUGGACACUGGAAGCUCUUACCAAUUAUUGGUACCUGGAAUCCAGACUUACCUUUACUGAGCUCCCGGCAUCAGUGAUUUUAAAAUGUUCCCCCCAUGCAACAACCAUUUAUGAUGAUAACGCUCCAGAAGACGGACACAGAAGGAGCCUACCUCGACACAAUAAAAGCCAUGUAUGGCACACCCACGGCUAACAUCACACUCGGUGGUGAAAACCAGAAAGCAUUUCCUCUACGAUCAGGAAUCAGGCAGGGAUGUCUACUCUCGCCAGUCUUCUUCAACAUAGUCUUGAGUUUUAGCCACAGCAAUCAGACAAGAAAAAGAAAUAAAAGGAAUCCGAAUUGGGAAGGAAGAAGUGAAAUUGUUACGCUUUGCAAACAACAUGAACUAUACAUAGAAAAUCCUGGAGUUCCCAUCAUGGCUCAGUGGUUAACGAAUCUGACUAGGAACCAUGAAGUUUCGGGUUUGAUCCCCAGCCUUGCUCAGUGGGUUAAAGGUCCGGUGUUGCCGUGAGCUGUGGUGUAGGUCGCAGACACGGCUCAGAUCCAGAUCCCGCAUUGCUGUGGUUCUGGUGUGGGCCGGUGGCUACAGCUCCCUUUCGACCCCUAGCUUGGGAACCUCCAUAUGCUGCAAAUGUGGCCCUAGAAAAGACAGAAAGACAAAAAAAGAAAAAAGAAAAAGAAGAAAGAAAAUCCUGAAGGUGCCACCAGGAAACUGCUAGAACUCGUCUGGUAAAGCUGUUGGAUACAAAAUUAAUACACAGAAGCGGGUUGCAUUCUGUACACUGAGGAUGACAUAUCAGAAAGAGAAAUUAAAUGUUCCCUAGGGAGUUCCCCUUGUGGCUCAGCAGUAAUGAGCCCAACUGGUAUCCACGAAGACACGGGUUUGAUCCCUGUCCUCACUCAGUGGGUUAAGGAUCCGGUGUUGCCGAGAGCUGUGGCGUCGGUUGCAGACGCAGCUGGGAUGUGGUGUGGCUUCGGCUGUGGCGUAGGCCAGCAGCGGUAGCUCUGAUUCACCCUCUAGCCUGGGGACCUCCAUAUGC
rnacentral:lncRNA from 1 species